rnacentral:rRNA from 1 species
AGCGAACGUUAGCGGCGGGCCUAACACAUGCAAGUCGAGCGAGAAAGGGACUUCGGUCCUGAGUAAAGCGGCGGACGGGUGAGAAAUACGUAGGUAACCUGCCUUUCACUGGGGGACAACGGUCCGAAAGGACCGCUAAUACCGCAUACGUCAUCCGGGACCUCGGUUCUGGAUGGGAAAGCUGGGGCAACCUGACGGUGGAAGAGGGGCCUGCGUCGCAUCAGCUAGUUGGUGGGGUAACGGCCUACCAAGGCUAAGACGCGUAGCUGGUCUGAGAGGAUAAUCAGCCACACUGGGACUGAGACACGGCCCAGACUCCUACGGGGGGCAGCAGUGGGGAAUAUUGGACAAUGGGCGCAAGCCUGAUCCAGCCACGCCGCGUGAGUGAUGAAGGCCUUCGGGUCGUAAAGCUCUGUGGGGAGGGACGAACCGCCGGUAGUUAAUACCUAUCGGCAUGACGGUACCUCCUUAGCAAGCACCGGCUAACUUCGUGCCAGCAGCCGCAGUAAGAC